AUCAAACCGACCUUCAUCGUGUGAUUUUCCUCGAUCCUUAGAGUCGGUGGGGCAUAAUCCCCGAGACUCGUGCUGAUUGGCCAGCAGAGGAGGCGGGCGCCCAGGAGGGUAGGGCGGGCGCCCUGCCUCCGGGCCCGCUCGGCCUCCCGUUCGUUCCCGUGGCUUCUGGAGUCUUCUAGAUGAUAGAAAAUUGCGCGGCACGUUAAUAUCUCUAUGUAAUCUCGACGUGUGGGCCUUUCUUCUGUAUUUCCUGAUAACCCCCUACAGAAAUAGACAAACACCAAAACUCGUGGAAUUCUGUCAGAUAAAACUCUAAGUCUGGGUGUUGGUUGCAUUUGGAUCCUUUUCCAUGAUUAAUUGAUGGUUAAAUAUGAGCAUUAAGGACCGUCAACACGUGUGUGUAUGGGUUUUCCUCACCUUCUCCUGAGAAAGGUUGUUUUUGAAUAAAUUCUAUGUAUUUGGGGUCUAUCUCAAAACUAGAUGCUAUGAUAGGCUUUGAAGAUUUUGGUGGAUCGAGAUGUGUGCCCGUAGGUCUAUGAAAUUCAUAGAUAGACAUGUUUGAAUUCAUAAUAGACCAGAGAUCGAGGAUUAGAUAAGAAGAAAGAAUAGCAGAGAUGAGGCAAAGGAUAAAAGGAAAAUAUUUUUUUAUUUUUUUUUAUUUUUUAGAAAAUGAUUAAGCUAGUUUGUAGUCAACUCAGCAACCGUUUCCCCGGCAACGGCGCCAAAAAUGAUUGUUGACACUUGCUAACACCACUUGAAUACUAGGUUGUCAUCCCCAGCAUGGCACUAGAGUGUACUAUAGUAUUUAUAUGCACACAGAUAAUCCGCAAGCGCACGGAUACCGUUGAAGCUUUUACCCAGUUAAAGGUUUUAUCGUAUCCACAGGGAAACGGGAGAACUGAUCUACGCUCUAACUUAACCAAGAUAAGUAAAUAGGUGUGAAUCGGAAAGAUGGUAGAAUCAAAUAAGAACAAUAUUAAAGGUAAGAUAACAGUGAGUGAUAAUAUGGGAAUAGAGAGUGGAGCAAUUCUAGUAUAUGGCCGGCCUCUCCUCUAAUCCUCCUUCGCUCUCCAUCUUGCUACUAUCUAGAUCUACUAUAGUUUAGAGAAGAGAGGAGAGCUCUCAUCUCUAAACCCUAGCUUUUGCUCUGUCUAUGAAUAAUGAAUAAUGAUCAAGGGGUUGCCUCCUCCAGGGGCCAGGGGGUCUGGUUUUAUAGUCCCCUCAAGUGAACCUGGGCCGUCGGAUCAAACCGACAUUGAUUGAACGGUUAUUCUUGAUCCUUUAGGUCGGUGGAGCAUAAUCCGCGAGAUUGAGCGUGAUUGGCCACAGGAGGUGGGCGGGCGCCCAGUAGGACAGGGCGGGCGCCCUGUCUCUGGCCCCGAUUCACCUCCGCUUCGGUCUCAUGGCUUCUAGAGUCUUCUAGAUGUAAGAUAAUUGCACGGCA
rnacentral:lncRNA from 1 species